rnacentral:rRNA from 1 species
AUACGGAGGAUCCGAGCGUUAUCCGGAUUUAUUGGGUUUAAAGGGUGCGCAGGCGGCCAUUUAAGUCAGCGGUUAAAUCGUGGGGCUCAACCCCAUUCUGCCGUUGAUACUGGGUGGCUUGAUUGCGGUCGAGGUUGGCGGAAUUCGUUGUGUAGCGGUGAAAUGCAUAGAUAUGACGAAGAACACCGAUUGCGUAGGCAGCUGACCAGACCGCAAAUGACGCUCAUGCACGAAAGUGCGGGGAUCGAACAGGAUUAGAUACCCUGGUAGUCCGCACAGUGAACGAUGAAUACUUGUUUUCGGCGAUAUAAUGUCGGAGGCAAAGCGAAAGCGAUAAGUAUUCCACCUGGGGAGUACGCCGGCAACGGUGAAACUCAAAGGAAUUGACGGGG